rnacentral:tRNA from 1 species
GGGAUUGUAGCUCAGUGGUAGAGCACUUGCCUAGCAUGUGUGAGGCCCUGGGUUCGAUCCUCAGCACCA